rnacentral:rRNA from 1 species
UACGGAGGGUGCAAGCGUUAAUCGGAAUUACUGGGCGUAAAGCGCACGCAGGCGGUCUGUCAAGUCAGAUGUGAAAUUCCCGGGCUUAACCUGGGAACUGCAUCUGAAACUGGCAGGCUUGAGUCUCGUAGAGGGGGGUAGAAUUCCAGGUGUAGCGGUGAGAUGCGUAGAGAUCUGGAGGAAUACCGGUGGCGAAGGCGGCCCCCUGGACGAAGACUGACGCUCAGGUGCGAAAGCGUGGGGAGCAAACAGG